rnacentral:lncRNA from 1 species
GCAGUUGAACACAACAGUGCAAUGAAAAAGUCCACCAGAUUUCACUUCAAUUUCAUUUGUGUGCAUCCUAAAAUACAUCUGUAUCCAUUCUAAACUCCAAAUUACAAAAUAGAAAAAGAUAGAGAUACAAAAUGAUACUAGUAAUCUGGUCUUGUUGGCAAGCAGUUCAAGAUGAUCAGUUUUCCUGAUUCAUGAAAGAGGAUAGCAUAAAAAAAGCAUUAGCCAGGAGCCUUUAUAUGCAGAGUCUAGAAAAACUUGAUCUAUGUAUAGAUACAUCAUAAAUAUAUGCAGUAAAGGCUUAAAAUGACCAAAUUUCUAUAAUACCUACUAGCUGGUUGAGUGUUUAAAAUUGCAGUUACUGAUAUGUCAUGAUAUUUGAUACUACAGAAAAUUACGGAUAAAUACGGCUAAUGCGGUUGUAGUUACGGUCGAGAUAUGGUUUUAGAAAUCAUACAAAACUUAAUGCUGCGGUUGCAAUUGCACUUGCGGAUUAAAAGACUACUUUUCCCUACUUCAUUUGGAGUGAUAACCAGUAUGAUAAGAAUUGCUGAUAUUCUCCCAUUAGUCCAACCAGCCUCUUUCACUGCAUAAAAUUCAGCUCGGCGCUGAUUCGAAUUCUUUUACCUCAUAAGGUAUUCCGAGAUCAAUGACCAGUUUUGAUAUACAACCUUAUAGUGAUACUGUCAUCCCAAUGCAAAAUGUGAAAAAAACUAGUCAUUUCAAUGACCAGUUGCAAAACCAAAACAAGACAAGGGAAGAAUCAUCACAUCGAGCCAAAGUUAAACAAAAUCUUCACAAGUCACAACCCUUAGCAUAUUUGAAUAUUGCGUAUUUGGUUUACAUUGGAAAAAUCUAAAUCAUGAUCCGAGGGAAACUCAAACUUAUUUUCUCUGCUGAUUGAAAUUUAAGAGAGAAGAGAUGGUGUCCGAAUUCAAUGAAAAACCUCUAGAGUUAAAAAAAAAAAGACAUUACAUUUACAACUCCCUUAAAGAUGAGUUAGGACUCAAAUCUAGAAGUUGUGAAAUACCUUACUACAUUUGAAUUCUUUAAAGUUCAUUGCUUGCAACUUUUGUUCAACUUAUAUUCUUAAACUCUAAUGUAAAAUUCAAACAUGCUAUCAAUUACUUCUGUAAAAUAAAAUUACAUCUGAUACUAAAAAGAAAAAAAAUCCCUCAACAUUUUACUUAAUAAUUACUUUUUCUCCAACAAAAAUAUUUUUAAAAAACAAUCUUAGUUAAGACAUAGACAGAUAGUAAAUACAAACACUUCUCAAUAAAUAUUAGAAUCUUAAUCAUUUUGUGAGUAAUUAAUUAACUUCUACUAAAUCGUGUAAAUUCUUCGUAGUAGUAGCCAAUCACUAAAAUGACAAAUAAAAAUCAUCGAAAGUUAGAUGUUCUAAAAGAGGCUAGUUUUUAUAAUUAUAAUUAUAAUACAAUAACAAAAUAAAACCCAUAACAUGUGACAGAGUGAUUAGUAGUUUGAAUGCUUUAAACAUUAGAGAAGAUUUGAUUCUUGACUUAUGUGAAUAAAAUAAUAUUUAUGGGGAGAGAAAUUAUGCUAUUCCUUAAUUGGUAUUCUAAUUUCUGAGGAUUAAUCUUAUGAAUUUAUUUUGGUAUAUCUUUCAGAAAAAAGAAAAGAAACAAAAGUAUCCCACACGGAAGAGAUUUUUCACGAACCUGACAAAAAAAAUCAUUCAAUAGAGAUACAGAACCUUCUCAAAAAAUGAGACGGUCAUCUCUAGUGAGUGCCCUUCUUAUAGCAAACAUUCUCAUGGCAACACGCCUUACCCUC